GUAAAAAUGGACCUUGGACCGUACGAGACCUCGUUCAGGACCUUUGACGCAACAAAUUAUCAACCAAUAGCUACAAUCGACGUUAAGAAGACAAUAUUUGAUUUGUGUACCGAUAUAACUGACAGCUUUGUAGCCGUUAUUGAGAAUCAGGCCAGCACCGACGAAAGCGUUUUCCGGGUAUACGAAGUCGG